rnacentral:rRNA from 1 species
CCUACGGGAGGCAGCAGUGAGGAAUAUUGCUCAAUGGACGAGAGUCUGAACCAGCCAAGUCGCGUGAAGGAUGACUGCCCUAUGGGUUGUAAACUUCUUUUAUGUGGGCAUAAAACGUUCCACGUGUGGGAUUUUGUAUGUACCAUCUGAAUAAGGAUCGGCUAACUCCGUGCCAGCAGCCGCGGUAAUACGGAGGAUCCGAGCGUUAUCCGGAUUUAUUGGGUUUAAAGGGAGCGUAGGUGGAUUGUUAAGUCAGUUGUGAAAGUUUGCGGCUCAACCGUAAAAUUGCAGUUGAAACUGGCAGUCUUGAGUAAAGUAGAGGUGGGCGGAAUUCGUGGUGUAGCGGUGAAAUGCUUAGAUAUUACGAAGAACACCGAUUGCGAAGGCAGUUCACUGGACUGCAACUGACACUGAGGCUCGAAAGUGUGGGUAUCAAACAGGAUUAGAUACCCGUGUAGUC